ACGGGGUAGUAACGGGUAGGUGACGUACCCUCGGGUUGGGGAUAGCCACGGGAAACUGUGGGUAAUACCCAAUAAUCUCCUGGAGCUUGAGGGCUUCGGGAGCAAAGGUGUGAUUCCACCGGAGGAGCGGCCUGCUUCGUAUUAGCUAGUUGGUGAGGUAACGGCUCACCAAGGCAUCGAUGCGUAGGGGGUGUGAGAGCAUGACCCCCACCACUGGGACUGAGAUACUGCCCAGACACCUACGGGUGGCUGCAGUCGAGAAUCUUCGGCAAUGGGCGCAAGCCUGACCGAGCGACGCCGCGUGUGGGAUGAAGGCCCUUGGGUUGUAAACCACUGUCAGAGGGGAUGAAGUGCCAGAGAGUUAUCUCUUUGGUUUGACAUAGCCUCAGAGGAAGCACGGGCUAAGUUCGUGCCAGCAGCCGCGGUAAUACGAACUGUGCAAACGUUAUUCGGAAUCACUGGGCUUACAGGGUGCGUAGGCGGCUUGCUAAGUAGGGUGUGAAAGCCCCCGGCUCAACCGGGGAAUGGCGCCUUAAACUGGCGAGCUGGAGUGAGAUAGGGGUGUGCGGAACUUCCGGUGGAGCG
rnacentral:rRNA from 1 species